rnacentral:rRNA from 1 species
AUUGAACGCUGGCGGCAUGCUUUACACAUGCAAGUCGAACGGCAGCACGGGAGCAAUCCUGGUGGCGAGUGGCGAACGGGUGAGUAAUGUAUCGGAACGUGCCCAGUCGUGGGGGAUAACGUAGCGAAAGCUACGCUAAUACCGCAUACGAUCUAUGGAUGAAAGCGGGGGACCGUAAGGCCUCGCGCGCUUGGAGCGGCCGAUAGCAGAUUAGGGAGUUGGUGGGGUAAAGGCCUACCAAGCCGACGAUCUGUAGCUGGUCUGAGAGGACGACCAGCCACACUGGGACUGAGACACGGCCCAGACUCCUACGGGAGGCAGCAGUGGGGAAUUUUGGACAAUGGGCGCAAGCCUGAUCCAGCAAUGCCGCGUGCAGGAUGAAGGCCUUCGGGUUGUAAACCGCUUUUGUACGGAGCGAAAAGGCUCUCUCUAAUACAGGGGGCUCAUGACGGUACCGUAAGAAUAAGCACCGGCUAACUACGUGCCAGCAGCCGCAGUAACAC